rnacentral:miRNA from 1 species
AUAAAGCUAGACAACCAUUGCA